CUCAACCGUGGAACUGCAUUUGAAACCGUGUGUCUUGAGCGAACUAGGGGUAUGCGGAACUUCCAGUGGAGCGGUGAAAUGUGUCGAUAUUGGAAGGAACACCGGUGGCGAAAGCGGCAUACUGGGGUUCGACUGACGCUGAGGCACGAAAGCCAGGGUAGCGAAGAGGAUUAGAUACCCUCGUAGUCCUGGCUGUAAACGAUCUGUACUAGAUGGGUGAUGGCUUGCCGUUGCCGAUCGUAGCAAAAGUGUUAAGUACAGCGCCUGGGGAGUAUGGUCGCAAGGCUGAAACUCAAAGGAAUUGACGGGGGCUCACACAAGCGGUGGAGCAUGUGGCUUAAUUCGAGGCAACGCGAAGAACCUUAUCCUGGGUUGAACUACGGCGGAUGGCUUACCUGAAAGGGAUAAGUCUGCCUUCGGGUGAAACGU
rnacentral:rRNA from 1 species